rnacentral:rRNA from 1 species
AUUGAACGCUGGCGGCAGGCCUAACACAUGCAAGUCGAGCGGAUGAAGGGAGCUUGCUCCUGGAUUCAGCGGCGGACGGGUGAGUAAUGCCUAGGAAUCUGCCUGGUAGUGGGGGAUAACGUCCGGAAACGGGCGCUAAUACCGCAUACGUCCUGAGGGAGAAAGUGGGGGAUCUUCGGACCUCACGCUAUCAGAUGAGCCUAGGUCGGAUUAGCUAGUUGGUGGGGUAAAGGCCUACCAAGGCGACGAUCCGUAACUGGUCUGAGAGGAUGAUCAGUCACACUGGAACUGAGACACGGUCCAGACUCCUACGGGAGGCAGCAGUGGGGAAUAUUGGACAAUGGGCGAAAGCCUGAUCCAGCUAUGCCGCGUGUGUGAAGAAGGUCUUCGGAUUGUAAAGCACUUUAAGUUGGGAGGAAGAGCAGUAAGUUAAUACCUUGCUGUUUUGACGUUACCAACAGAAUAAGCACCGGCUAACUUCGUG